GUUAAGGUGGCAGAUCCCGGCCAUUGCAAAAGACCUAAGCCCUUUCCAAAGAGGUUCAAAUCCUCUCCUUAACU
rnacentral:tRNA from 1 species